GGGUGACGCGCGAGGGGAGGAGGAAGCAAAUUAAUACAGGCGAGCAAGAGGGUCCAGCUAACGAACGAACCGACGCCAAGUCUAGUGCCGACCAGCGCCGCGACGCCUCGCAAUCCUCUCUCCCUGUCUCUUCUCUUCUGUUCUCGCUGUCGCUCCGUAUUCAGCAGGGGAGCUACGCUCAGCUCGUCUGGGACGUUUCGAAUCUUGAUCGGCGCUCAGUAAUAACGCAAAACCGAUUGGGUCAGUUUUCAGGAUGAGAUACGCGUCACGUAUAAGUGAGCAGUGUAAGCCCCGCGAGUCGAUGGGCCAAUCGCCUCACUCUCGUGAGGUCCAUCCGUGUCGUUGAGCGCGAUUCUUUCACGACGACAACGAAGUGUGAAGGUACCCUUACGACGAUACCGGGUUUGACAGUGAAAGAUAGGAUUUCUUUUUGUCUUUGUUUCGUACCGCGACCAAAGCGCACGUUACGUGACGUGUAAAGAGCAACGGUCUUCCCGGAAUUCGCUGAUGAUCUUAUCGUUGUUCAGCCCCACCACGAACGAUGCAUUUUUUCCUAUAUACGGCCAUUUCACGCCAUUUUACGCCUUUCAACAUUGCAAUUCAGUGUGUGUGUAAUUAAACGAACACAUUUCACAAACGUAACAAAAAUAACCCAUCGUCUGGUAGAUGGAAUGUUGAAUAUACGGAGGUACGCGAGCCAGCAAUGAUAAUUUCGAGAAACUUACAAUAUAAGAGAUGCAGGAGUAGAGGCAGGGUGUAAAUAAAUAUUCUCCGGCACGUAUAACGAGAUGUAAACGAAGACCGAAGUAAAGGAUACCGAGUAUCUGAUGAAUAAAUUCCAAGGCAAGUGUCACAAAUGUGCUAGAUAUUUAAGUAGUAUUAAUUAGACGUAUAUAUAUAUGUCACAAAUAAAGAAAUUUCACUUAAAUAUGCCGAUUCUAAUUGAAGAUGAUGCUAUUGCAUAUCGUUACAUUUUCUGUUCGGAUAUUCUCGAUUAUUUUUCCAUAAUGUUCCAAAAUACUAAUUUUGGUUUGCCUCACUGUGGCUUUUCUAAUGUUUAAAUAUAUUUCUCUAAACAAUAUAUUUAAUAUAA
rnacentral:lncRNA from 1 species